rnacentral:lncRNA from 1 species
GGAAGGUAUGUACGCUCUUGUCAUGAAUAGAUCAAAAUGAGUCUUGUUGUCAUUUAAGGUAAUGUUCUUCUAUGGCCUCUGUUCAUUUGAUUUUUAGAAUGUAUGCUAAGUGAUUGUUUUGUUACAAAUAAUAAAUACUGCACAAAUCUAUAAUAAAUAUUGGGCUGUUUCUGACACUUUCAUUUUUAUAUUAUUCGGGUAAGGGUUGUAUUGUGUUUUGAUUUCACUGUUUUUUUGGGUCAUAUUUGAUAGGGAGAGCAGCAAUUGAGGUUACAAAUGAAGGUGUUGAUGCUGCAGGGCAUACAAUUGGUACAUCUUUGGAGGUCAUNAACCAGAAUUUCAUGUAUAUGGACCCAACAUAUUAUUCAAACAAGUUUAUUUGACAGUAAUAUAUAAGACAAUUAUUGCCCUUUUGUAAUUUUUACAAGUAAAGUGUAAACUUUGAAUUUUGUUUGAAAUUGUGAUUUCCGUUUUUGAUUUGGUUCUCACAAUAUAGAUACUACAUUCAUAGAAAGUAAGUUACUUUAACUUGUUGGUAUCUUCCAAAGGUAAUUAGAAAUAGGAUGUUUGGUUCAGUAGGACAUUCUAACUGUAUCUUGUUCUUUUUCCUCUUUCAAAAGACUUCCCAUAAAGGUCAAUGCCACUCUUUUAUGCUUAUAACAUCAUGCAUUUUUAUAACUCCGUCUUUUUGUUUACUCUAAAAUGUUACUAUUUUUAUUUCCCAAAAUUAUUUUGAAGUGAUAACUAACUUGUUCGUCCGAGUCUUUGUAGGAAGGUAUGUACGCUCUUGUCAUGAAUAGAUCAAAAUGAGUCUUGUUGUCAUUUAAGGUAAUGUUCUUCUAUGGCCUCUGUUCAUUUGAUUUUUAGAAUGUAUGCUAAGUGAUUGUUUUGUUACAAAUAAUAAAUACUGCACAAAUCUAUAAUAAAUAUUGGGCUGUUUCUGACACUUUCAUUUUUAUAUUAUUCGGGUAAGGGUUGUAUUGUGUUUUGAUUUCACUGUUUUUUUGGGUCAUAUUUGAUAGGGAGAGCAGCAAUUGAGGUUACAAAUGAAGGUGUUGAUGCUGGAGGGCAUACAAUUGGUACAUCUUUGGAGGUCAUUUCCAACUUAGGAAGGUUCUCAACCCCGAGAGUAUGAUCAAACCAACAUCACUAGCUAAAGAUUAUUUUGAAUCCAUAACUAACUUGAUCGUCCGAUACUUUGUAGGUAUCACACCUUUAGCUAAUGAUGCUGGUUUCUUUUGCUGUGAUCAUGUCAGACUUGAGGCCCUUAGAGGUAAUGUUCUUAUGUUUGCCUCUUUUAAUUUGGUUUCAUUUGUUUGUGCUCAACAGAUUAUUCAGGUUCAUUCGUUGAUUUCGUUUAUUAAUAUGUACAAGUUUUAUAAAAACGUGAAGCCUUUUCUUGACUUGAAUAUUUUUUCAGAUAUUAUUCAGGUUUUUUUUGAACUAUGCAAUGAUUAAAUGAACUUGUUCUUUGUCUAAAAUCAAUAUUUCUUCCAUAUUAAAUCUGGCUGCCUUACUUCACUUGUUCAGUUUAUUUUUUCUGAAUUUAUAGUAAUUUGUGACCUUUUCCAUGAGAUAUAGAAAGUGAUGAAGGGAACCUUUGAUUUGGAAGCAUAAUUCGGUCUGCACCCCAACUAUUUUUCAUAUAGAGUAUCAUGCAUUACAUUAGAUUAAAUCACAUAAAUUUGUUAAUUAAUCUAUAGAACCUACACCUCCGAUCAAAGGUGUGUCCAAUGUCAGACACGUGUUGGUUUCUGUUUCUGACACUGACUUACCACAUUCAAAUUAUUUAUUUUUUAAAAUUAAUACUGGUGUUGACGUGUCAUUCUCGUGUCCCAUGCUCGUAUUGUAUAAAAAAGUUUGAAAUCCAUAAUAUAAAAUUUCCAGUGCCUUGUUCUGGUCAUUGUUAUCCAUAUGUGGUAAAUAUGUCUUUAAUAGAUAUUUAUGUACAUCAACAUGAAAAUUUGUAUAUUGUUUAUAAUUCAUUUCAGAUCUUAGUAAUUUUCAACCAUGACUAUCAAAAUCUUUUUAUUGGGACUUUAGAUAAAAAGUCAUCCUGCAUAUGUUCUGAUUUGUACAAAUUUGCUGAGGUGGUUUUCCUUCAAUUGUGGUUGCAGGGAUUUGUCAUCGUCUCAGUUUUAUUCGAUACAACAUCUUGCCCUUAUACACCUUAACAAAAUGGGGUAGCCGGACAUAAAAAUAUGCAUCUUGUAGAAACCGUUUGGACCUUACUUCUCUAUGGUAAUGUUCCAUUCUGGUUCUGGGGGAUAUUAUGCUAAUAUGGCAUGUUACCUUAUAAACCUUAUGCUCUCGUCUGUCCUUAACAACAAUAUCUCUCACUUAAUUUUGUUGUUUCCUUAUUCCCCCUUCAGCCAAUUCCUCCUCGUGUCUUCGAGUCUACAUUAUUUGUUAAAGUAAAUGCUCGUGACGGUGACGGUACGGUGAUCACCCAUGGUUCUCUUUCUCUCUCUUCCAGGUUACUCCUACCCUAUCUCAUAUAGAAACAUUGGGGACAAUGUUCGGUUUAAGUGCGGGAGGAGAUUUUUAUCGUUUUUCUUUAUUUUUAGUAUGUUUUGUGCGUUUUUAGUUGUUUGUUUUUCCUUUCAAUAAAAUAACAUGUGUUUGACGAGUCAUUUGUGUAGUGUAUCCGUAUUUCUCCCAUUUCUUUAAUCUUACCAAAAAAAAUUUGUGAGCAAAGAAAACAGUGCAUCUUGAAUAUUAAGGCUAUAAGACAGGUUUAUGACGAGAUGUAAAAGACUUAGGAUUUUUUUUUUUAAAAAUCGGUAUUGUCUUAACAACGUAGGCUUCAUGAUUAUAAGAGUCGAUCCCGAUACCCCAUAUGCUGUGGUCCCAAAUUUUGUUCCAAAUAAGUCCAUAAGUAGUUUAUCCUUGCAGUCAGCUCCGGCUUAAGCAUGCUCUACGUAGGGGACCGAUGAAAAUAAGUGAAUGAUCACAAAAAAAUUUCCUGCUUU